rnacentral:rRNA from 1 species
UACAGAGGUCCCAAGCGUUGUUCGGAAUCACUGGGCGUAAAGGGCUCGUAGGCGGCCAACUAAGUCAGACGUGAAAUCCCCAGGCUCAACCUGGGAACUGCGUCUGAUACUGGAUGGCUUGAAUCCGGGAGAGGGAUGCAGAAUUCCAGGUGUAGCGGUGAAAUGCGUAGAUAUCUGGAGGAAUACCGGUGGCGAAGGCGGCAUCCUGGACCGGCAUUGACGCUGAGGAGCGAAAGCCAGGGGAGCAAACGGG